rnacentral:rRNA from 1 species
UACGUAGGGACCAAGCGUUGUCCGGAAUCAUUGGGCGUAAAGCGCGUGUAGGCGGUCCGGUAAGUCGGCUGUGAAAGUCCAGGGCUCAACCCUGGGAUGCCGGUCGAUACUGCCGGACUAGAGUUCGGAAGAGGCGAGUGGAAUUCCCGGUGUAGCGGUGAAAUGCGCAGAUAUCGGGAGGAACACCUAUGGCGAAGGCAGCUCGCUGGGACGUUACUGACGCUGAGACGCGAAAGCGUGGGGAGCGAACAGG